UGCAGCAACGCCGCGUGAGGGACGACGGCCUUCGGGUUGUAAACCUCUUUUAGCAGGGAAGAAGCGAAAGUGACGGUACCUGCAGAAAAAGCACCGGCUAACUACGUGCCAGCAGCCGCGGUAAUACGUAGGGUGCAAGCGUUAUCCGGAAUUAUUGGGCGUAAAGAGCUCGUAGGCGGUUUGUCGCGUCUGCUGUGAAAACUGGGGGCUCAACCCCCAGCCUGCAGUGGGUACGGGCAGACUAGAGUGCGGUAGGGGAGAUUGGAAUUCCUGGUGUAGCGGUGGAAUGCGCAGAUUUCAGGAGGAACACCGAUGGCGAAGGCAGAUCUCUGGGCCGUAACUGACGCUGAGGAGCGAAAGGGUGGGGAGCAAACAGGCUUAGAUACCCUGGUAGUCCACCCCGUAAACGUUGGGAACUAGUUGUGGGGUCCAUUCCACGGAUUCCGUGACGCAUCUGACGCAUUAAGUUCCCCGCCUGGGGAGUACGGCCGCAAGGCUAAAACUCAAAGGAAUUGACGGGGACCCGCACAAGCGGCGGAGCAUGCGGAUUAAUUCGAUGCAACGCGAAGAACCUUACCAAGGCUUGACAUAUACAAGAACGCUGCAGAAAUGUAGAACUCUUUGGAC
rnacentral:rRNA from 1 species